rnacentral:tRNA from 1 species
GCCGCCCUAGCUCAGUCGGUAGAGCAAUUCACUCGUAAUGAAUAGGUCAGGGGUUCGAUUCCCCUGGGCGGCUC